rnacentral:rRNA from 1 species
UACGUAGGCAGCGAGCGUUGUUCGGAGUUACUGGGCGUAAAGGGUGUGUAGGCGGUCCUUUAAGUUUGGUGUGAAAUCUCCCGGCUCAACCGGGAGGGUGCGCCGAAUACUGAGGGACUAGAGUACGGGAGAGGAAAGUGGAAUUCCUGGUGUAGCGGUGAAAUGCGUAGAUAUCAGGAGGAACACCGGUGGUGUAGACGGCUUUCUGGACCGUAACUGACGCUGAGACGCGAAAGCGUGGGGAGCGAACAGG